ensembl:lncRNA
GGCUCUCUUUUUCAAACACCAGUCAUUUCAAUAUGGUCAGGGCCUUUAUAGCAAUUUACUCCUUAGAGCAAAAUAUUUGGCCUAAAUACUCUGGGCUGUCAUGGUGUCUGGUCUAGGUGGAAGGACAGUUGCCGGCUCCUCGGGUUAAGUGAAUUCUUCCAUCUUCAUUUCUUCACAUGGAGCUCUGUCUGCUGCUGCUGUAAGAAAAAUGACACCGAACCUGGGAGGAAAGACAUGAGACAGAGAAAUGUAAUGAGCACUUGUCUUCCGGAUCAAAAGCAGCGUGGGCGUGAGCAUCAUCAGAGUCAUUCUAGCAGGCACAGGGACGCUCAUCCCGACUACAGAGCUGACUACUGUGUCCACCCCGGGAACGAAGUGUCCCAUUCUGUCGCAGCAUGCCAGGCCUCCCUGUCCAUCACCAACUCCCGGAGUCCACCCAAACUCAUGUGCAUCGAGUCGGUGAUACCAUCCAACCAUCUCAUCCUCUGUCAUCCCCUUCUCCUGACUUCAAUCUUUCCCAGCAUCGGGCUCUUUUCAAAUGAGUCAGCUCUUCGCAUCAGGUAGCCAAAGUACUGGAGUUUCAGCCUCAGCAUCAGUCUUUCCAAUGAACAGCCAGGACUGAUCUCCGUUAGGAUGGACUGGUUGGAUCUCCUUGCAGUCCAAGGGACUCUCAAAGACUUCUCCAACACCACAAUUCAAAAGCAUCAACUCUUCGACGCUCAGCUU